rnacentral:rRNA from 1 species
UGGGGAAUCUUGGACAAUGGGCGCAAGCCUGAUCCAGCCAUGCCGCGUGGAUGAUGAAGGCCUUAGGGUUGUAAAAUCCUUUCGUGGGGGACGAUAAUGACGAUACCCCAAGAAGAAGCUCCGGCUAACUUCGUGCCAGCAGCCGCGGUAAUACGAAGGGGGCUAGCGUUGUUCGGAUUUACUGGGCGUAAAGCGCGUGUAGGCGGGUCGUUAAGUUGGGGGUGAAAUCCCGAGGCUCAACCUCGGAACUGCCUUCAAAACUGGCGACCUGGACCCAAGUAGAGGCAAGUGGAAUUGCGAGUGUAGAGGUGAAAUUCGUAGAUAUUCGCAGGAACACCAGUGGCGAAGGCGACUUGCUGGACUUGUGGUGACGCUGAGACGCGAAAGCGUGGGGAGCAAACAGGAUUAGAUACCCCCGUAGUCCCUGAGCGGGCUGGCAAGGCGCAU